rnacentral:rRNA from 1 species
AACGAACGCUGGCGGCAGGCCUAACACAUGCAAGUCGAGCGCCCCGCAAGGGGAGCGGCGGACGGGUGAGUAACGCGUGGGAACGUACCCUUUGCUACGGAAUAGCCUCGGGAAACUGGGAGUAAUACCGUAUGUGCCCUUCGGGGGAAAGAUUUAUCGGCAAAGGAUCGGCCCGCGUUGGAUUAGGUAGUUGGUGGGGUAAUGGCCUACCAAGCCGACGAUCCAUAGCUGGUUUGAGAGGAUGAUCAGCCACACUGGGACUGAGACACGGCCCAGACUCCUACGGGAGGCAGCAGUGGGGGAAUCUUAGACAAUGGGCGCAAGCCUGAUCUAGCCAUGCCGCGUGAGCGAUGAAGGCCUUAGGGUUGUAAAGCUCUUUCAGUGGGGAAGAUAAUGACUGUACCCACAGAAGAAGACCCCGGCUAACUCCGUG